ACUCAAAUGAAUUGACGGGGGCCCGCACAAGCGGUGGAGCAUGUGGUUUAAUUCGACGCAACGCGAAGAACCUUACCGGGGCUUGACAUCGUACGAAAUCCUAUGAAAGUAGGCUUUCUCGCAAGAGAACGUACAGACAGGUGCUGCAUGGCUGUCGUCAGCUCGUGCCGUGAGGUGUUGGGUUAAGUCCCGCAACGAGCGCAACCCUCGUCGUGUGUUGGUCCGCAAGGAUCUCUCACGCGAGACCGCCGAUGAGAAGUCGGAGGAAGGUGGGGAUGACGUCAAGUCAGCAUGGCCCUUACGUCCCGGGCUACACACGUGCUACAAUGGGUAGGACAACGAGUCGCGAGCUAGUGAUAGUAAGCUAAUCUCUCAAACCUGCCCUCAGUUCGGAUUGGAGGCUGCAACUCGCCUCCAUGAAGUCGGAAUCGCUAGUAAACGCAGAUCAGCUACGCUGCGUUGAAUACGUUCCCGGGCCUUGUACACACCGCCCGU
rnacentral:rRNA from 1 species